rnacentral:rRNA from 1 species
CGCGUAGGCGGAUUGUUAAGUCGGGGGUGAAAUCCCGGGGCUCAACCCCGGAACUGCCUCCGAUACUGGCAAUCUUGAGUUCGAGAGAGGUGAGUGGAAUUCCGAGUGUAGAGGUGAAAUUCGUAGAUAUUCGGAGGAACACCAGUGGCGAAGGCGGCUCACUGGCUCGAUACUGACGCUGAGGUGCGAAAGUGUGGGGAGCAAACA